AAUAAAGUGCCUGAUAAAAGGAAUAUUUUGAUAGAAUAUAUUAUGCAUAAUUAUGCCUUUAUUA
rnacentral:tRNA from 1 species